UACAGAGGGGGCAAGCGUUAUUCGGAAUUAUUGGGCGUAAAGGGCGCGUAGGCGGUCGUGCAAGUGGAAGGUGAAAUCCCUCGGCUCAACCGAGGAACUGCCUUUCAAACUGCAUGACUUGAGUCCGGGAGAGGUGAGUGGAAUUCCCAGUGUAGCGGUGAAAUGCGUAGAUAUCUGGAGGAACACCGGUGGCGAAGGCGGCAUCCUGGACCGACAUUGACGCUGAGGCGCGAAAGCCAGGGGAGCGAACGGG
rnacentral:rRNA from 1 species